ACUUUUGAUUUGUUAGAGAAAGAAGCCCAGUGGUAAGAGCUGGAAGAGUGAGGUCAAAGGGUGGGCUGAGAAGAGGCCCACAUAGUGUAACCCUCAGUGUAGAGCACAUAGACUCCCAAUCUGCUGUCCUCGCCCCAUGCCAGGGAGCAGCCCAGCCCGCAGGACGCAGAACACAUAUGCUCGGUGGACUAGGACCAUAUUGUUUCAGUUUGUCUAGGGCACAGACCCUAGCACUUGACCAUGGAGGUGGUAAAUGACCCCUGCUCCAGUGAAGGUAAGCAGAGGAGACACAGCACCGGCCCCCCAAGCACCGAGUCACCAGCGGCUGUCCAGGAUCCCAGAGUUUCUCACUCUGCGGAUGCCAUAGAAGCUGGUGAUGAAUCAGGAGCACACGGAAAAGCCUGAUGCGAGCGGGAGUGCUUCCAGGGAGGCCCAAGAUGUCGAAGUUUUGGACCUCAACAGCACAAAGUUCACCCUACCGAGGAAACCAACCAAAGGAAACAGUUGCAUCCCCACCCCUCAGUCGCCACCGCUGGUCAACAGCAGGUGUCUGCUGCGCUCCCUUCCCAUUGGCCAAGGCAACACCUCCCACCAUCCCGUCACGAACCUUUCAGCAAAGUCAGCUGUUACUCUGGGAGUAGCAACCGGUCAAGGGUGGAAGGAGCGUCUUCCUCCCAUGCCAGCCAGCGAAAACAGGGAAGGGCAGGUGCAGCUGCCUCUGAGAAAGGUUUUCCCCGUUCUCCACCCACGCACCCCCUCCUCCCAGAAGAGUGGCUGGAGUUCCUAAGGGCUGGUGAUAAGGGCAGGGGAUCGGAUAAACAAAGUGAGGCAUAAACGGACUCCUCACCCUCAAAGGCUGUUCUGACCCAUGCAAGAAUAUGGCUGAGCCUGGAGAAGGCUUUGCUAACUGAAAGAAGCCAGCCACAGACGAGGGGAUUUGCACAGUCUGCUUGCACAGGACACCUGGGGGUGGGGGUGGGGCUAAGGUUCUGGAACUCAAGGAAGUAAAGUAUUGACAGCCAGAGACGGGGAAGACAGGUGCAGAGCUGUUUAAAGGCGAUAGAGCUUCAGCGUGGAAGAUGGAGUUCGGUAGACGGAUGACGUUGGUGAAUACACUUAAUGCUUAGGAUGGUCGUUGAAUACCGUGUACUUGACACUGACAUUUUUUAAGACAAUUCUGAGGAGUGAGAAGGGUGACUCUGAGCACUGGAGGAGAAGAAGCAGAGAAAUCUAGUGGUAGACGAGCUGGAGCUGGGGAAGGAGUCUCUUUCUCAAUAAAUAAACGAAUAAAACAAAUAAUUGAAACCCACUUUCCUUUCCCAUCUUAACACUCCUCCGUAAACUUCCUGAGCCUUAACUCCCUCAAGGCUGACCAGGAAGCAGAAAAAUGGCCAGGCCAAGUAUUACAGUCUUGUAAUCGCAGAACUGGGGAGGAGGGAUGCAGUGGGGUCAGGAUGCCCGGUCUAUUCGCGGCAAGUUCAAGGACACAGACACAAAGUGUUAUUGUCAGGUUUGCUUUCCCAAGCAAGGUAGAGCAGUUCUCUGAGCCCUCGUUUGUAAAGUGUGGUCCCAGGAGUGGUACAAGUCCUUUAGACUGCCAAACAUGCAAGUCAUGCUUUCUUGACUCAGCAAGUCCCAGCAUGGUGCCUGGCGACACACUGAUCGAUCACAGAUCAACCAGAUCAACAAGCCUCCUGGUGACCACUCACAAAGGGAGCCCUUGGCCCCAGAUCCCUCUACCCCCCCACUCCGUUACUUGGGACAGCUGCAUCUGUCCUGCUCCAGGGGGUCUGGGACCAGCGGCCUUGGGACAGGUAUCCUGCAGCAGGGGUUUAAGCGAUGUUAGCCUCUGUUCCCUCAAGGGUGGAGCUCGCCCAGCCCCGCCUCGCACUCCUACAAUCACACAGGUAGCCAGCUGGGCAGGGCCUGGAAACAAAGUAAGGGAGGCUGAACUCCUGCUUGCCAGUCGCCGGUCAGGAGCCUCGGAGCCGCCACAAUGGGGAUGUCCAAGUCUCGGGGUUGCUUUGGCUACCCAUUGAGCAUCUUCUUCAUCGUGGUCAAUGAAUUCUGUGAAAGAUUCUCCUACUAUGGGAUGCGAGCUCUCCUGGUUCUGUACUUCAGGAACUUCCUUGGCUGGGAUGAUGACCUCUCCACGGCCAUCUACCAUACGUUUGUUGCCCUCUGCUACCUGACGCCAAUUCUUGGAGCUCUGAUCGCAGACUCGUGGCUGGGGAAGUUCAAGACAAUUGUCUCACUAUCCAUCGUCUACACGAUCGGACAGGCCGUCAUCUCAGUGAGCUCAAUUAAUGACCUUACAGACCAUGACCACGACGGCAGUCCUAACAACCUUCCUUUGCACGUAGCACUGUCCAUGAUCGGCCUGGCCCUGAUAGCCCUUGGUACAGGAGGAAUCAAGCCCUGUGUGUCUGCAUUUGGUGGCGAUCAGUUUGAAGAGGGUCAGGAAAAACAGCGAAACCGGUUCUUUUCCAUCUUUUAUUUGGCUAUCAACGCAGGAAGCCUGCUCUCCACGAUCAUCACUCCCAUACUCAGAGUUCAGCAGUGCGGAAUCCACAGCCAACAAGCUUGUUACCCACUGGCCUUUGGGGUUCCGGCAGCUCUCAUGGCUGUUGCCCUAAUUGUGUUUGUCCUCGGCAGUGGAAUGUACAAGAAGUUUCAGCCCCAGGGCAACAUCAUGGGCAAAGUGGCCAAGUGCAUUGGCUUUGCCAUCAAAAACAGGUUUCGGCACCGAAGUAAGGCAUUUCCCAAGAGGGAACACUGGCUGGACUGGGCUAAAGAGAAAUACGAUGAGAGGCUCAUCUCGCAGAUUAAGAUGGUGACGAAGGUGAUGUUCCUGUACAUUCCCCUCCCCAUGUUUUGGGCCUUGUUUGACCAGCAGGGUUCCAGGUGGACACUGCAAGCAACGACCAUGACUGGGAAAAUUGGAACAAUUGAGAUUCAGCCGGACCAGAUGCAGACGGUGAACGCCAUCUUGAUUGUCAUCAUGGUCCCCAUUGUGGACGCCGUGGUGUAUCCGCUCAUUGCAAAAUGUGGUUUCAACUUCACCUCCCUGAAGAAGAUGACCGUUGGGAUGUUCCUGGCAUCCAUGGCCUUUGUGGUGGCUGCAAUUGUGCAGGUGGAAAUCGAUAAAACUCUUCCAGUCUUCCCCAGCGGAAAUCAAGUUCAAAUUAAGGUCUUGAACAUUGGAAACAAUGACAUGGCCGUGUAUUUUCCUGGAAAGAAUGUGACAGUUGCCCAAAUGUCUCAGACAGACACAUUCAUGACUUUCGAUGUAGACCAGCUGACAAGCAUAAACGUGUCUUCUCCCGGAUCUCCAGGCGUCACCACGGUAGCUCAUGAGUUUGAGCCGGGUCACCGGCACACCCUUCUAGUGUGGGGCCCCAAUCUAUACCGUGUGGUAAAAGACGGUCUUAACCAAAAGCCAGAGAAAGGGGAGAACGGAAUCAGAUUCGUCAGCACCCUUAACGAGAUGAUCACCAUCAAAAUGAGUGGAAAAGUGUACGAAAAUGUCACCAGUCACAGCGCCAGCAACUACCAGUUUUUCCCUUCUGGCCAAAAAGACUACACAAUAAACACCACAGAGAUUGCACCAAACUGUUCAUCUGAUUUUAAAUCUUCCAACCUUGACUUCGGCAGCGCGUACACCUACGUGAUCAGAAGUAGGGCGAGUGAUGGCUGCCUGGAAGUGAAGGAAUUCGAAGACAUCCCACCCAACACGGUGAACAUGGCCCUGCAGAUCCCACAGUACUUCCUCCUCACCUGCGGCGAGGUGGUCUUCUCUGUCACAGGACUGGAGUUCUCCUAUUCCCAGGCCCCGUCUAACAUGAAGUCCGUGCUUCAGGCAGGAUGGCUUCUAACCGUGGCCAUCGGUAAUAUCAUUGUCCUCAUUGUGGCUGAGGCAGGCCACUUCGACAAACAGUGGGCUGAGUAUGUUCUGUUCGCCUCCUUGCUCCUGGUCGUCUGCAUCAUAUUUGCCAUUAUGGCCCGAUUCUACACCUACAUCAACCCAGCAGAGAUCGAGGCACAGUUCGAUGAGGAUGAGAAGAAAAAGGGCGUAGGGAAGGAAAACCCGUAUUCCUCGUUGGAACCUGUCUCACAGACAAACAUGUGAAGAUCAGAAAGCAAGUGGAGAACAUACCAAGUCCAGCAUUCACCAUGACCUCUACCCAAGGGACAGGACCCUCCACCACAGAGUCCUUGCUGGAGAAAGACUUCAGACAUGUGAGCCAAAAUAAUAACAAAGCAGGUUUUCAGGCUGACGGCUGUGAAUCUGAAACUCUAGGGGAGCCUUUUUAAUUUGUUUUUCUUGAGACAGGGUAUCUCUGUGUAACCCUGGCUAUCCUGGAACUCACUCUAUAGACCAGGCUGGCCUCGAACUCACAGAUAUCUGUCUGCCUCUGCCUCCUAAGUACUGGGAUUCAAGGCAUGUACGGCAACUGCCCAGCUAAAAUAUUAUUUAUAACAUGCACUUUCUGGGUUUUUUGUUUUUAAAACAUACUUUUUUUUUAACACUGGGCCAUUUCUAACAUUUCUGCCACAGAAGUGGAUUUAGCUCAGAUUAACUUAAUUUUGAAAAGGUAACAGUACUGUUUUUUUUUCCUUAAUGCUCUUAUGAAAACAAUGUUGAAUUUACAGAGGGCUUUUUUAGUGUGUAGUGAGUAUCAGCUGAUUCGAGCUAAUAACUUUACCUUGGGGUUUUUGUUUGUUUGUUUUCCUGGUCUCCUUUGCCUGACCUCUUUUUAAAUUAUGUGUAAUUCAAAAGACUAUUCAAGUGAUGGUUAGUCAUGAGUCGUGACGUUUGACUGGUGUGAAGUAAAUUCUUGUUCUUAAGAA